rnacentral:rRNA from 1 species
GAUGAACGCUAGCGACAGGCCUAACACAUGCAAGUCGAGGGGCAGCACAAGGUAGCAAUACUGAGGUGGCGACCGGCGCACGGGUGAGUAACGCGUAUGCAACCUGCCUGUAACAGGGGAAUAGCCUCUUGAAAGAGAGAUUAAUGCCGCAUAAUACGAGAUUCGGGCAUCCGGAUUUAGUUAAACAUUUAUGGGUUACAGAUGGGCAUGCGUUUCAUUAGGUAGUUGGUGAGGUAACGGCUCACCAAGCCGACGAUGAAUAGGGGUUCUGAGAGGAAGGUCCCCCACACUGGUACUGAGACACGGACCAGACUCCUACGGGAGGCAGCAGUGAGGAAUAUUGGUCAAUGGACGCAAGUCUGAACCAGCCAAGUCGCGUGAAGGAUGAAGGUAUUAUGUAUUGUAAACUUCUUUUGUCAGGGAAUAAUGGGUGUCACGUGUGACGCAGAGGAAUGUACCUGACGAAUAAGCAUCGGCUAACUCCGUGCCAGCAGCCGCGGUAAUACGGAGGAUGCGAGCGUUAUCCGGAUUUAUUGGGUUUAAAGGGUGCGUAGGCGGUUUGUUAAGUCAGUGGUGAAAGUUUGCGGCUCAACCGUAAAAUUGCCAUUGAAACUGGCGAACUUGAGUACAGUAGAGGUAGGCGGAAUUCGUG